AUCCAUGGGAAACUCACAUGCCCAUACAUGAUGUGAUAUGUUUUUUCUCCAAAAUAAUGCAAACCAUAGUUUUGCACUGGGCUGUAUUUUUUACUGCAUCCUCUAGUCCAUUUCUGCUGCACAGCUAAGCAGGGCAGAGGCAAACUCCAUCCAAACAAGGAAGGGGAGGAAGAUGCAUUGCAAAAUUAUGGCUGGGUCACGUGAGUGGAGAAUACAGGCACAGAAAGUUUUUGACUGGAAGGCCCAGCUCAGAAAUGUGUUGUCUGCAUUUUAGUGCUUCUGCAUCGUGAGUUGCUCAGUGCAUUUACACUUCCUGGAAAGGAGAACUUUAAAAACAUGAACAGAAAACGCCUGGUAAAAUUUGUAACCAGCUCUGACUGUCUGUGGUAUGACAGCCAACAAAUAUCACCUGCUGAUGAUUUACAGAUUCCUGGGAGAUGUGGUGAUGAGUCUCAAAGAACUGGAACAAGAACAACUCACCCAAUAGACUUCUCGGGA